AGAGUUUGAUCCUGGCUCAGGAUGAACGCUAGCGGCAGGCUUAACACAUGCAAGUCGAGGGGCAGCAUGUCCAGCAAUGGAUGAUGGCGACCGGCGGAAGGGUGCGUAACGCGUGAGCAACAUGCCCUAUACAGGGAGAUACACCAGGGAAACUUGGUCUAAUAUCCCAUAGCAUUCAUUGAAGGCAUCUUUAAUGAAUUAAAGCUUCGGUGGUAUAGGAUUGGCUCGCGUGACAUUAGCCAGAUGGUGAGGUAACGGCUCACCAUAGCAAUGAUGUCUAGGGGUUUUGAGAGGAAGGCCCCCCACACUGGGACUGAGACACGGCCCAGACUCCUACGGGAGGCAGCAGUGAGGAAUAUUGGACAAUGGAUGGAAAUCUGAUCCAGCCAUGCCGCGUGCAGGAAGACGGCCUUAUGGGUUGUAAACUGCUUUUAUACGGGAGCAAUAAGGGUUACGAGUAAUCCGAUGAGAGUACUGUAUGAAUAAGGAUCGGCUAACUCCGUGCCAGCAGCCGCGGUAAUACGGAGGAUCCGAGCGUUAUCCGGAAUUAUUGGGUUUAAAGGGUGCGUAGGCGGCCAUUUAAGUCAGCGGUGAAAUUUUGCAGCUUAACUGUAACAGUGCCGUUGAUACUGUUUGGCUAGGAUUUGGUUGUAGUGUGCGGAAUGUGUGGUGUAGCGGUGAAAUGCUUAGAUAUCACACAGAACGCCGAUUGCGAAGGCAGCAUACUAAGUUUAUACUGACGCUGAUGCACGAAAGCGUGGGGAUCAAACAGGAUUAGAUACCCUGGUAGUCCACGCCGUAAACUAUGAUUACUCGUUGUUUGCGAUAUACUGUAAGCGACUGCGCGAAAGCAUUAAGUAAUCCACCUGGGGAGUACGUUGGCAACAAUGAAACUCAAAGGAAUUGACGGGGGCCCGCACAAGCGGAGGAACAUGUGGUUUAAUUCGAUGAUACGCGAGGAACCUUACCUGGGCUUAAAUGGGAAGUGACAGUUUUGGAAACAAAAUUUUCUUCGGACACUUUUCAAGGUGCUGCAUGGUUGUCGUCAGCUCGUGCCGUGAGGUGUCGGGUUAAGUCCCAUAACGAGCGCAACCCUCGUCGAUAGUUGCCAGCAUGUAAUGAUGGGGACUCUAUCGAGACUGCCGGUGUAAACCGUGAGGAAGGUGGGGAUGACGUCAAAUCAGCACGGCCCUUACGUCCAGGGCUACACACGUGUUACAAUGGUCGGUACAGUGGGCAGCUACUCAGCGAUGAGAUGCUAAUCUUUAAAACCGAUCUCAGUUCGGAUCGGAGUCUGCAACUCGACUCCGUGAAGCUGGAUUCGCUAGUAAUCGCAUAUCAGCCAUGAUGCGGUGAAUACGUUCCCGGGCCUUGUACACACCGCCCGUCAAG
rnacentral:rRNA from 1 species